AGAAAUGAGAAAAAUACACUUGGUAAGAUUUGGAUUUUUGCAGUCUAGUGUGAAUUUUGUUAAACAGAUCCCACAUAUAAAGUAUUUAGCUUCUUAUUGGAAACAGGAAAAGGAGAAGUGCAAUUUAACCAGCGCGUCGGUCUCCGGGGGCUCAUUAGAACAAAUCUCCUCCUGGCUAAAUUAUUUAUGUCUGGGGUCUUUAGGAUGGCAAUAUUUGCUUGUAAUAUGUGUUGAUUUUUCUGUAUGUGUGUGUUCAAGUAUGCGUUCAUACCACUCCUGGAGUUCAUGUGUUGGUAGUGGCUACAAUGGGGGACAUUUAGACUCUGCUAUAACUGUGCCAGAGGCCGUUUUGCCUGCAUUUAUAAACCUGUUUUCACUGAAAUUUUCAAGCCUAGCCUCUACUGAAGACUGACUGCAAACACAAGAGGCAUGUGUGCUGAAUAGUGAAGAUGUUUUAACACGAAAUACCUUCAUUAACUGAUACUAGAGGAAGCGUUUUAAUUUUGCUUUUGUUUUUUCCAAUAACUCGUUGCACUAUGUCUGCAUGGUAACGUGUUUUAAUGCAGGGAUAUGAGUGACAAGUGGCACAUAUACAGUAUGAAUGUGUUGUCAGAGUGAGCAGCUAUUUGAAUGAGUUAAUACAGAUGAUGAUGAUGUGUUUUUCUACAUGUUUUUGCACACUUAUGAGUGAUCACGUACUGACUUUGUGUGCGAGUUUAUUUCUUAAUUCUCAUUUUAGUAUUGUUCACUUUCAGAGGAAAGGAGUGUGUUGUGUAUUAAUAAUAACAAAUAACAAAAUAAAGCUUGACAGAAACCGU